AGAGUUUGAUCAUGGCUCAGAUUGAACGCUGGCGGCAGGCCUAACACAUGCAAGUCGAACGGUAACAGGAAGCAGCUUGCUGCUUCGCUGACGAGUGGCGGACGGGUGAGUAAUGUCUGGGAAGCUGCCUGAUGGAGGGGGAUAACUACUGGAAACGGUAGCUAAUACCGCAUAAUGUCGCAAGACCAAAGAGGGGGACCUUCGGGCCUCUUGCCAUCGGAUGUGCCCAGAUGGGAUUAGCUUGUUGGUGGGGUAACGGCUCACCAAGGCGACGAUCCCUAGCUGGUCUGAGAGGAUGACCAGCCACACUGGAACUGAGACACGGUCCAGACUCCUACGGGAGGCAGCAGUGGGAAUAUUGCACAAUGGGCGCAAGCCUGAUGCAGCCAUGCCGCGUGUAUGAAGAAGGCCUUCGGGUUGUAAAGUACUUUCAGCGGGGAGGAAGGGAGUAAAGUUAAUACCUUUGCUCAUUGACGUUACCCGCAGAAGAAGCACCGGCUAACUCCGUGCCAGCAGCCGCGGUAAUACGGAGGGUGCAAGCGUUAAUCGGAAUUACUGGGCGUAAAGCGCACGCAGGCGGUUUGUUAAGUCAGAUGUGAAAUCCCCGGGCUCAACCUGGGAACUGCAUCUGAUACUGGCAAGCUUGAGUCUCGUAGAGGGGGGUAGAAUUCCAGGUGUAGCGGUGAAAUGCGUAGAGAUCUGGAGGAAUACCGGUGGCGAAGGCGGCCCCCUGGACGAAGACUGACGCUCAGGUGCGAAAGCGUGGGGAGCAAACAGGAUUAGAUACCCUGGUAGUCCACGCCGUAAACGAUGUCGACUUGGAGGUUGUGCCCUUGAGGCGUGGCUUCCGGAGCUAACGCGUUAAGUCGACCGCCUGGGGAGUACGGCCGCAAGGUUAAAACUCAAAUGAAUUGACGGGGGCCCGCACAAGCGGUGGAGCAUGUGGUUUAAUUCGAUGCAACGCGAAGAACCUUACCUGGUCUUGACAUCCACGGAAGUUUUCAGAGAUGAGAAUGUGCCUUCGGGAACCGUGAGACAGGUGCUGCAUGGCUGUCGUCAGCUCGUGUUGUGAAAUGUUGGGUUAAGUCCCGCAACGAGCGCAACCCUUAUCCUUUGUUGCCAGCGGUCCGGCCGGGAACUCAAAGGAGACUGCCAGUGAUAAACUGGAGGAAGGUGGGGAUGACGUCAAGUCAUCAUGGCCCUUACGACCAGGGCUACACACGUGCUACAAUGGCGCAUACAAAGAGAAGCGACCUCGCGAGAGCAAGCGGACCUCAUAAAGUGCGUCGUAGUCCGGAUUGGAGUCUGCAACUCGACUCCAUGAAGUCGGAAUCGCUAGUAAUCGUGGAUCAGAAUGCCACGGUGAAUACGUUCCCGGGCCUUGUACACACCGCCCGUCACACCAUGGGAGUGGGUUGCAAAAGAAGUAGGUAGCUUAACCUUCGGGAGGGCGCUUACCACUUUGUGAUUCAUGACUGGGGUGAAGUCGUAACAAGGUAACCGUAGGGGAACCUGCGGUUG
rnacentral:rRNA from 1 species